rnacentral:ribozyme from 13 species
UUUUUUUUUUUUUUUUUUUUUUUUUUUUUUUUUUUUUUUCUUCCGUCCAUCUCU